GACGAACGCUGGCGGCGUGCCUAAUACAUGCAAGUUGAGCGCUGAAGGUUGGUACUUGUACCAACUGGAUGAGCAGCGAACGGGUGAGUAACGCGUGGGGAAUCUGCCUUUGAGCGGGGGACAACAUUUGGAAACGAAUGCUAAUACCGCAUAAAAACUUUAAACACAAGUUUUAAGUUUGAAAGAUGCAAUUGCAUCACUCAAAGAUGAUCCCGCGUUGUAUUAGCUAGUUGGUGAGGUAAAGGCUCACCAAGGCGAUGAUACAUAGCCGACCUGAGAGGGUGAUCGGCCACAUUGGGACGGAUACACGGCCCAAACUCCUACGGGAGGCAGCAGUAGGGAAUCUUCGGCAAUGGACGAAAGUCUGACCGAGCAACGCAGCGUGAGUGAAGAAGGUUUUCGGAUCGUAAAACUCUGUUGGUAGAGAAGAACGUUGGUGAGAGUGGAAAGCUCAUCAAGUGACGGUAACUACCCAGAAAGGGACGGCUAACUACGUGCCAGCCGCCGCGGUAA
rnacentral:rRNA from 1 species